rnacentral:lncRNA from 1 species
GGUCUGGGAGUGUAGGUUACUACUACGUGGGUGCCCUCUUUCUUAUGUCUUAUUACAAUUGUUAGUAUUCCGCUUAUUUUAGUAUUUCUCUGCUAUUUAUUUUGUAUUUUAUGUUUAUUAUUUCUUAUUUCGUAUUUCGUUUAUGUCAUCCAUCCGGCUUCAUGUUUCAUUAUGACCUUAGUGUACUAUUCUCUAUCUUGAGUCGGGGG